rnacentral:rRNA from 1 species
UACGGAGGGUGCGAGCGUUAAUCGGAAUUACUGGGCGUAAAGCGUGCGCAGGCGGUUUUGUAAGCCAGAUGUGAAAUCCCCGGGCUCAACCUGGGAAUGGCAUUUGGGACUGCAAGGCUGGAGUGCGGCAGAGGAGACUGGAAUUCCUGGUGUAGCAGUGAAAUGCGUAGAUAUCAGGAGGAAUACCGAUGGCGAAGGCAGGUCUCUGGGCUGACACUGACGCUCAUGCACGAAAGCGUGGGGAGCAAACAGG